UUUUGGCAGCUUCGUGCUUCCCAGGUCAAGAGGGCUUGGGAUCAGGGUCUCGUGGGCAGGUGUGACGGUGCUGUGUCAGGUGUGGUGUCCCAGGUGUGUCAGAUAUCCUGGCCCAGGUGUGACAGGUUUGGUGUCCCAGGUGUGAUGGCGCUGAGUCAAGUCCCAGGUGUGUCAGGUGUACUGUCCUGGG